rnacentral:rRNA from 1 species
UACGAAGGGGGCUAGCGUUGCUCGGAAUCACUGGGCGUAAAGCGCACGUAGCGGCUUUUUAAGUCAGGGGUGAAAUCCUGGAGCUCAACUCCAGAACUGCCUUUGAUACUGAGAGCUUGAGUCCGGGAGAGGUGAGUGGAACUGCGAGUGUAGAGGUGAAAUUCGUAGAUAUUCGCAAGAACACCAGUGGCGAAGGCGGCUCACUGGCCCGAUACUGACGCUGAGGCACGAAAGCGUGGGGAGCAAACAGG